rnacentral:pre_miRNA from 1 species
UUUCUACUCCCUCCGUCCUAAAAUACUUGUCAUCAAAAUGGAUAAAAAGAGAUGUAUCUAAAACUAAAAUACGUCUAGAUACAUUUCCUUUUAUCCAUUUUGAUGACAAGUAUUUCCGGACGGAGGGAGUAUUUG